rnacentral:rRNA from 1 species
CAUGUCUGUUUGUAGGUAUAAAAAGUCCAAUCUGCCCACUGAUAUCAUUUUUUUAAAGGGCCGCAGUAUUCUAACUGUGCAAAGGUAGCAUAAUCGUUAGUUCCUUAAUUGGGAUCUUGUAUGAAUGAUUAGACAAAAAAUUAGCUGUCUUUAUAAUUAAGAUUGAAAUUAACUUUUAAGUGAAAAGGCUUAAAUUGUUUGAAGUGACGAUAAGACCCUAUAAAGCUUAAUAUUUAUAUAAGAGUUUGAGUAAAAUAGAUUUUUAAAGUUUUAAAGAUUAUAUGUAUUUUAUUGGGGUGAUAAAAGUAAAAUUAAAAUAACUGCUUUAUUGUUUAAACAAUGAUAUAUGAUUAAUGGGUUGGUAAAUGAUCCUAUUAUGUGGAAUAAAGAUUAAGUUACUUUAGGGAUAACAGCGUUAUUUUUUUUAAGAGUUCUUAUCGAAAAAAAAGAUUGCGACCUCGAUGUUGAAUUAAAAUAUCUUUAUAAUUGUAGAGGUUAUAUAAGAAGGUCUGUUCGACCUUUAAAUUUUUACAUGAUUUGAGUUCAGACCGGUUUGAACCAGGUCGGUUUCUAUCUUUCAAUAAAAUGUAAUUACUUUA